UAGAGUUUUCUAAACUCCCAACCCAUGUGAACUUACCUUUUGUUGCCUCGGCAGAGGUUACCUGGUACCUGGAGACAGGUUACCCUGUAGCAACUGCCGGUGGACUACUAAACUCUUGUUAUUUUAUGUAAUCUGAGCGUCUUAUUUUAAUAAGUCA
rnacentral:misc_RNA from 1 species